rnacentral:lncRNA from 1 species
UCCAUAGUACCUGAAAAUUCACUUACCAUUCCUAUACACCCCGCUUAGUUCAUAAACAUUAAUAAAGCAUGAAUAAUACAUCAUACGCCAUGGAAAAUUAAUUAAGCGAGUAAUCAUGUCAAAAUCCUCAAUUAUGCAAAAAUCCAUAGUCAAAACCAUGAAUUUAGAAAUCAAUUUUAUGCCAACAAUAAGGCACAAGUAUUGUGAGAGUGUCACAUGCAAGCUUCAUGUUCUAUCCCAUCCCAUGACUUAACCCCCA